CAGGAGUGGCUCAGCUAGGCUGCUCUGGCUCAGGUCCGUUCAUUAGCUCCGGUCCAGGUGUCAGCAGGACUGCAGUCAUCUGAAGGUGCAAGUGGGCCUGGGCCUUCCACAUCCAAUAUGGCUCCCUCACGGGGAAGGCAGGGACAGAGGCGAUGGCCGCUGGGCACAGGGCACAGGUCUGGGGGACUGGCAUCCCAGAGACAGGCUGGAUUCAGCACCCUGAUGACAUCCUCUGCUUUGGGGAGGACCUAGCACCUACUUGGGAGGCACAAAGUGUCCCCAGGUCACCCUCAGGACAGAAAAUUGCUGCAAACCCGUGUUCUGACCCCUGGAACUGAAAUAAACAUUGCUAUACUUAUUCUA